ACCCACUCUCGUUUAGCUUUCGCUUUCAUUCUUUACACUAUGCAGGUGUACAUUUAUAUCAUUCUUAGACCCAUUUCUUUUUCGUUGUUUAGUGGUCGCUUCAAAAUUAGCAAAAACUGAGGCAGAAACUUACCUCCUUGGUUACAAGUGUUUUCAGGAUGUUUACAUUUUUCUAGCUCUUUGCUCCUAGCACUAACCCAAUGGUAAUCCAUUAGAGAAAACUGUAUCUGAAGACCCAGAUGACAAGCCUCGCAGCAGGUUGGUGAGAAGGAAUGGCACUCUGACUGAAACCUACAUGUUCCUGCCUUAUCUCACUGUCACAGAUCCUUGAACUUUUUGCUUCUCCUGUUGUUAUUUCGACACAGAAUAUUGGAUUCCUAGGCGUAGGAGAGAAAGCCCUUAACAAGGGUGAUGAAGGAUCAGACUGUGGGGCAUCAUCAAUUAGACCUAGCCUAGACCAGGCCCCCAGGCAACGGGUUCAGGACCUCCAGAGGCAUUCUGAGUACCCUGAAUCCUGAGAGAGGUGGUGGGGAAAACAGUGCAGAACUGGAGUCUGGCCAACUCCACUGCAACAGAGAAAACUGCACCCCCUUCCUUUGGGACACCAGUAGAGAGAAGGCAAGAAUCGGACACUCAGGAGUCAAGGGACCCUCUGACCACAGAGAAACUUCUUUGCACUAAAGGUAAACGCGAGCAUUUCUUGGGACGACAUAUUUUCUUACUGGCUAUAUAUCUUUAAUCCUGGGAAGAUUUAAAAUUAAGUAGAGCUGUACUGAAGGAAAUCAAACCUCAUGGUAUUACCUUUCUUUGUAUUAGGGAAUCUAUAUAUUUUGGUAUUUUAAAUGCUUCUAAUGUUUAAUAGCAUUUAAUACUUUUAAUGUUUAAUAAAGCAUCUAAAAAUUAAGCUUGUAGUUCUGACUUAAAAUGUAUAACUGACUAAUUGAGACUGGAUUUUAAGUUAAAAUCUUAAAAUGUUUAUACACUAUAUUGGAGCUUUUAAGAGAACAUACAACUAACCAUAUGUAUAUGUUUAUUCAUUUUAUGAGAAUUACUAAGAACUUGGGAGUGUUUAUUAAUCAGAAAACUGAUGUGUUUGAAAAAGGGAUCAAAUUAUUAAAUUAAUACAUGUAGUUUAAUUAACCAAGUGGAUCAGACAUUAAUUUACUAGACACACAAAUAGAAUAAUAAAAGAGGUAUGUUGAAUGGAAAAGCUUAAGAACAAGAUUUUGAAUUUGAAAGUAAUGAAUAUUAAUUUUUAAAAACAAAGUAACUUCUAAAUAAUCUUUUCAGGGUGAAAAAUAGUAAUGUUUUUUUAAAAUCAUUUUUUCUUUUUUAUGCUGCCCUAGAGAAGUUCACAGGGAAAUAUCCAAAUCUAUAAAUGUGAUUCUUC
rnacentral:lncRNA from 1 species